rnacentral:rRNA from 1 species
CGUGUAGGCGGGACGGCGCGUCGGCCGCUGAAAUCCCCCGGCUCAACCGGGGAAGGGGCGCCGAUACGGCCGUCCUGGAGCGACGUAGGGGGGGCUGGAACUUCCGGUGGAGCGGUGAAAUGCGUUGAGAUCGGAAGGAACGCCCGUGGCGAAAGCGAGCCCCUGGACGUCGGCUGACGCUGAGACGCGAAAGCCAGGGGAGCGAACG